rnacentral:tRNA from 1 species
GAUUGAUCAGUUUCAGCGUUUGCCUGGUAUUGGCCCGCGCACGGCGCAACGCCUUGCCCUGCAUUUGCUCAAC